GUGGGGAAUAUUGCUCAAUGGGGGAAACCCUGAAGCAGCAACGCCGCGUGGAGGAUGACACUUUUCGGAGCGUAAACUCCUUUUGUUAGGGAAGAACACUGACGGUACCUAACGAAUAAGCACCGGCUAACUCCGUGCCAGCAGCCGCGGUAAUACGGAGGGUGCAAGCGUUACUCGGAAUCACUGGGCGUAAAGGACGCGUAGGCGGAUUAUCAAGUCUCUUGUGAAAUCUAACGGCUUAACCGUUAAACUGCUUGGGAAACUGGUAAUCUAGAGUAAGGGAGAGGUAGAUGGAAUUCUUGGUGUAGGGGUAAAAUCCGUAGAGAUCAAGAAGAAUACCCAUUGCGAAGGCGAUCUACUGGAACUUAACUGACGCUAAUGCGUGAAAGCGUGGGGAGCAAACAGG
rnacentral:rRNA from 1 species